rnacentral:miRNA from 1 species
CAGAGGCUUAUGGCUCCAAGCCCUGAGAGAUAGGGACCUAUUGUUCAGGGCUUUAGGUUCU